UUAAAGUUUUAAUCUGGCUUAUGGGAUUAAUUUAUAUUUACAUUACAUGUAAAUUUUUGUGCUUAAAAUGAUAAUUUUAGAUAAAUUAUUAUUUGUUUAACCGCAGUAAAUAAUUUUAUUAAUUAAAGGAAUUUAGAAUUAGUAAUAUAUAAUAACAUUAACAAAAUUUGUGCCAGCAGUUGCGGUUACACAUUUAAUGUAAUUAAUUUUUUUCGGUGGAUAAUAAUUUUAUAUUUAUAAAUAAUAAAAGUUAAUUUAUUAGGUGAAAUUUUAAAUUAAUAAAAUUUUUAUUAAAGAUUUAUAAUUUAUUAAAUUUUUAUAUAAACUAGGAUUAGAUACCCUAUUAUUUUAAACGUAAAUUAAAAACUAGAUUAGUAUUUGUGAUUUCUUGAAAAUUAAAGAUUUUGGCGGUAUUUUAGUCUAUUCAGAGGAACCUGUUCUAUAAUUGAUAAUCCACGAUUUAUUAAACUUAUUUUAGUAGUUUAUAUAUCGUCGUCAUUUGAAUAUUUUUAAAAAAUCUUGAAUGUUCAUAAUUUUUAAAUAGAAGGAAAAUCAGAUCAAGAUAUAGCUUAUAGGUAAGUAGAGAUGGGUUACAAUAAAGUUAUUUAUAUGGAUUAAACAUUUGAAAAAUUUUAUGAAAGUGGAUUUGAAGGUAAUUUUAUUUAAAUUAAUAAAAUGAUUUUAGCUCUAAAAUAUGUACAUAUCGCCCGUCGCUCUCAUAUAAAGUGAGAUAAGUCGUAACAUAGUUGAGGUACUGGAAAGUGUUUCUGGUUAGCG
rnacentral:ncRNA from 1 species